rnacentral:rRNA from 1 species
CCCUGACGCAGCAACGCCGCGUGGGUGAUGAAGGUCUUCGGAUUGUAAAGCCCUGUUUUCUGGGACGAUAAUGACGGUACUAGAGGAGGAAGCCACGGCUAACUACGUGCCAGCAGCCGCGGUAAUACGUAGGUGGCGAGCGUUGUCCGGAUUUACUGGGCGUAAAGGGUGCGUAGGCGGAUGUUUAAGUGGGAUGUGAAAUCCCCGGGCUUAACCUGGGGGCUGCAUUCCAAACUGGAUAUCUAGAGUGCAGGAGAGGAAAGCGGAAUUCCUAGUGUAGCGGUGAAAUGCGUAGAGAUUAGGAAGAACACCAGUGGCGAAGGCGGCUUUCUGGACUGUAACUGACGCUGAGGCACGAAAGCGUGGGUAGCAAACAGGAUUAGAUACCCUGGUAGUCCACGCCGUAAACGAUGGAUACUAGGUGUAGGGGGUAUCAACUCCCCCUGUGCCGCAGUUAACACAAUAAGUAUCCCGCCUGGGGAGUACGGUCGCAAGAUUAAAACUCAAAGGAAUUGACGGGGGCCCGCACAAGCAGCGGAGCAUGUGGUUUAAUUCGAAGCAACGCGAAGAACCUUACCUGGACUUGACAUCCCUUGCAUAGCCUAGAGAUAGGUGAAGCCCUUCGGGGCAAGGAGACAGGUGGUGCAUGGUUGUCGUCAGCU